GUUUCUAAAGAAGAACAGCAGAAUGUGGUUUAAUUUUACUUGCUUCUCAAUAUUGCAUUUACACAACUUUUUUACUACCUAUUACAAGAGUGUUCAAUAAAAUAUAGCUGUUUUGAUCCCUUAUCUGCAUAUUAGUGAGAGCUCGUGUGUGCACCAAUGACUCCACUCCCAUAAGCAAGUGAGGCUCUUUACAAAUUGAGGAACUAUUAAGAAAAUGCCAGCAUUUACUGUCCCAUUCAUUCAGUGGUCUGCAUUUUACAUUAGGUUCUGUUUUUCCAUCAGCUUUUUUUUUUUUUUUAAAAAUCAUGCUUCCAUCCAAUGUAGUCUUUUAGGCUACCUCUCUCACUGGAGCCAAUAACCUUUGCAACAUUAGCUUCUUCCAUGCUCUCAUAUAUAUAGCUGGCAUUUUAUUUAUAUCAGAACCGUGCACCCAACUGUUCAUGAAAAUGUUAGUGAUGGGAAAGGGGAAUUCCAGUUAAUGAAAAGUCAAAACUGUAUAUUUUUCAUCUUCUGGAAAAGCAUGUGCAUUACAGUAUCUUCAUAAAGCAGAAAGUAGUAAUACUUAGAAAAACCUACUGUCCAUUAAAUUUAGCUAUUUUCACUGUUUAAUAAAAUAAUCUGACACUAAUAAAGUGACAUAUAAAGUGACUCUUAAAUAGUAUGGGUAUAUCAAUUUACAUUUGCUGUGUAUACAAUUCACAUUUUAUUUUACUUGAUUUACAAAAUGUACUUAUAAACCUGAAUCUCCAGAUUUCAUACCAUAGAAACCACUAUUUCGCAUCAAAAGAUAGUGUACAUCAAGUCAUUUUGGCUCUUGGCAACCACAGAAGAAAAUAUAUUCAAAUAAAAUUAGGGUUCAUGUUUGUUAUUCUUUAGCAAAAGCAAAAGAAUUCAAAGUUAAUGAAACUCAGCCCUCCACUGUGCCAAUUCGCCCGAGUUCUGUAGUGGCCAAAUUGUACACACAAUAGUGUACAUGUAUUCCAUGAUACUUAGAUACAAAAGGCUGGCUUUAAAUGCAGGUGUUUUGACUUUAACUCAGUUUAUUAGACUUUUAAUUUGCUAACUGCAAAUCUAAUCAUUUUACAUUGUAAAUAAAGCUCAUGCAAGUAUAACAGCUGACUCCAAAAUAGUAACUCUGAAUUGACGGUUAAAAACAUGAUUAGUGAUCAAACCAAGGUCUAGUCUUUUCUGUUUACAUAAUCUGAAUGCCAAUUGAAACUUAUAGUUAGUAUAGUCAGAAACUGGACUAGUGUCACCUCCCCCCCCCACGGAACAAAUUGGGAAAACUAGAAUUUAAUUAGAGUACAUUUUUUUUCAGUGUUUAGAAUUAAAGGUUGCCAACACCCAUUCAAAGAAUAUCUGUUUUUUUCUGCACUUGUCACACUACAUAAAAACCUUAAAACAAUGGAAUAAUUCAAUAAAGAAACAAUAGGGAACAGGUCUCAAAACAAAGCUUAUUUGUGCCUUUAUCCCUUUUAGAAUAAUUUAACUAAGUUUUAUUUCUUUGUUUCUUUUCAACCAAUGUAAGAAAAUACCUGUGAAAAGCAUUUGUUUUUAAUUUGGUAAAAUCAAACAGCUAACUUUGCCAAAUGGAACCAAAGCUUAUUCAAAAGUAGACUACACACCAUCUCAAUAUUGUACAAGCCAGAAGUUUCAGAGGGUGUCUUAACAAUUCAAAAACAACAUUAGAAAUACCGUUAAAGGCAAUAUAUAGGUUAGAUAGCAUAGCCUCCAGUGGACACAAGAUAUCUACAAUAAAAUGUCUAUUUUAAUAAAUACUUCAUUAGCAACAGCAGUGUUGAGCAUCUCAAAACAAUUUUAAGAAAAUGUGCUGUUAUUUUUCCAUCAGAAUUGGCAACAUUGAAGCUAAUUUCAUUUCAACUAACAAUCAUCAAUAGACAACAAAUUUAAACAUAAGAACUUUUUGGAGAUAUUUUCUCAGAUACACUCAAAUUAAGAUCUCAUCUACACUAGGAAAUAGGAACAUGUUUUCAAACUAAUAUGAUGCUAAAUAUGCUUUUGUUGGCAGUGUGGACAGAGAUCCUAGGGAUAACCGGAAUCAGAAAACACAUUUUUAAUCACAACUGUCCAUGUCCGUAGAAAGGGCAAAUCUUGUUUAACGUCACAUUAGCUAAAACAUUUUCUAACACCAUGCUAUUUCCUAAACAAGCAAGGCUUAAAAGGGACCUGCAAUGAUGCACAGAUCCCACUGAUUAAACAUAGGGUCACCAAAACAAAGACACCUUGGGAGAUGCCAGCAAGGAAACUAAAGUACUAUUUAUGGGGUUAUAGCAAUGAAGCAGUAAUUACUUCUGGGGCAUAUAGCCCUGCUGGAGUAUGAUCCUGAGGUGCUAGACUGGCAGCAUUCUACGCUCUCCUAUGUGCCACAAUCCCUUAAAGGUAACUGCAGGGUCAAUGGCCAAGUUUCUUCAAAACUUCCCCCACCCUCACUUUUCUUUGUUGGUUUGAGGACUGAAUGUCAACACAUAUCAGUGCUACAACUUGAGGACUGGGAUAUAGACUCCAUGAUUCUAAAACGGAGAAGUGAAAUGUUAACAAGUCAAAACUGACAGCCUCCUUGCAUAUUGACUUCCUGAUACAAUUCCUUUGUGGAAUUCC